rnacentral:tRNA from 1 species
GCCUGGGUGGCUCAGUCAGUUGAGCAUCUGAUUUUGGCUCAGGUCAUGAUCUCAUGGUUUGUGGGUUCAAGCCCCACAUCUGUGCU